CGUUUUAAUCGAUGGGGGGACGCAGUAGGAUAGGCGAAGCGUGCGAUUGGAUUGCACGUCUAAGCAGUAAGGCUGAGUAUUAGGCAAAUCCGGUACUCGUUAAGGCUGAGCUGUGAUGGGGAGAAGACAUUGAGUCUUCGAGUCGUUGAUUUCACACUGCCGAGAAAAGCCUCUAGAUAGAAAAUAGGUGCCCGUACCGCAAACCGACACAGGUAGUCAAGAUGAGAAUUCUAAGGUGAGCGAGCGAACUCUCGUUAAGGAACUC
rnacentral:rRNA from 1 species